GGUUCUAGGGGCGGGGCCACAGGGGCACUGGCCCCUGCUGAAAUAUGAUUGGCCCCUGUAGUGCCCCUGUCCUGUCACUCAUCUGUCCUUUGUGCGGUGAUGAGAUUAUAGGUGGAUGCAAUUCCGAGUCCAAACACUAGUGGCCGUGUGGCGCUAAGGAGCAAAAUAGUGUGUGAAAUCCAACAGAAGAAGAUUUGAAAGAUUCCAAGAAGGGAGAACUUUUCAACCGACAUCGGAUCUGAUGAGAGUCCACGUUAUGAGGAGUUUGUUGCUGCAAACUGGGACAAGACUCUCUCCAAUUUAGACAACCAGAGUGAAGUUAAUGACUCAACCUUCCAUCCUGCUGGGCUACCAGAGUCACCAAUCAAUACUAAUCCUGCAGGAUCAAAUGACAUCUUCCAGUGUGAUGCACAGAAUCCUGCGCAGACAUCAGAACGGUGUUCUGUUCCAGUAGGACCUGGUGGUGUGCUUCUCAUUUUACAUUUCCCAGUCAAGAGCAGAGGGUCCUGUGAUAUUCUUCUGGUGUUUUUUCCACACACAAACAUAUUUUAACCUGAUAUUUGUGGCUUUGCAAAAUAAAUUGAAUGCUAAAAUUUCUCAAA